GCGUGAGGCGGGGUACACCCAGGACAGGACGCCAGUCUGUCGCAGAACACUUCAGAAAACCAUUAUCAUUUAACAGUUUGUCACUACAUCUAUAAGUGCAAGUUAAAAGUCUACCAUGUAAAGCGGAAGCCAUACACCAACAACCUCCAGAAAUACUGCCGCCUUCUCUCUACCCGAGCUCAUUUGAAA